rnacentral:lncRNA from 1 species
UAAGGACAUCUUUGCCACUUGUUCAAGUCCUAGAAACUACCCAAGUCUAGAAUUGCUUACUUGCUUACAUGAUUGGUUUACCAACCUUAAGGAAAACUCUUAAGUCAUACAUGUUGCUUAUGAAGGAUAGUCUGGAAUAUGAAAACGGACAGAAGCUAGAGAUGUAGUUCUGUCUGCUAGAUUAAUCUGGUUAAGGCCCGAUUCGUGUCUUAACCGAUGAUCAAGUGAUAAACAUCUGAUCACUUACUGGGUAUGGGACCAGUAAAGCCCAGUAGGUUAGUAAAUUCUAUGAUCAGGAAUGCUUCGUACCCGCGCUUGACGUGCUGGAGAUUGGCAGGGGUGUAGCCUGAAACUCACAUGGAGAUCAGGCCAGACGUGGGGUCCCAUGUGGGGGUGCAUCCCUGGGUCCGGGUAGUUGUAUUCCUAAUCAUUGACUUUACUAAUCGAGAGGUUGUUAGUACGACCUGGACAGUCGUAUAAUACUGGUGAUCAGGGUACUCUCCUGCAGGAUGUAAUUAGAUCCG